UACGUAGGGUGCAAGCGUUAAUCGGAAUUACUGGGCGUAAAGCGUGCGCAGGCGGUUUGUUAAGACAGAUGUGAAAUCCCCGGGCUUAACCUGGGAACUGCGUUUGUAACUGGCAAGCUAGAGUGUGGCAGAGGGGGGUGGAAUUCCAAGUGUAGCAGUGAAAUGCGUAGAUAUUUGGAGGAACACCAAUGGCGAAGGCAGCCCCCUGGGUUAACACUGACGCUCAUGCACGAGAGCGUGGGGAGCAAACAGG
rnacentral:rRNA from 1 species